rnacentral:rRNA from 1 species
CGCGUAGGCGGCUGUUACAGUCAGGCGUGAAAUUCCCGGGCUCAACCUGGGGGCUGCGCUUGAUACGUGAUGGCUUGAGUGCGGAAGAGGGUCGGUGGAAUUCCCAGUGUAGAGGUGAAAUUCGUAGAUAUUGGGAAGAACACCGGUGGCGAAGGCGGCGACCUGGUCCGUGACUGACGCUGAGGCGCGAAAGCGUGGGGAGCAAACAGGAUUAGAUACCCUGGUAGUCCACGCCGUAAACGAUGUGCGCUGGAUGUUGGGUGACCUAGUCACUCAGUGUCGUAGCCAACGCGAUAAGCGCACCGCCUGGGGAGUACGGCCGCAAGGUUGAA